UCCUACGGGGCGCAGCAGUGGGGAAUAUUGCACAAUGGGGGAAACCCUGAUGCAGCGACGCCGCGUGAGUGAAGAAGUAUUUCGGUAUGUAAAGCUCUAUCAGCAGGGAAGAGAAUGACGGUACCUGAGUAAGAAGCCCCGGCUAACUACGUGCCAGCAGCCGCGGUAAUACGUAGGGGGCAAGCGUUAUCCGGAUUUACUGGGUGUAAAGGGAGCGUAGACGGCGAUGCAAGUCUGAAGUGAAAGGCGGGGGCCCAACCCCUGGACUGCUUUGGAAACUGUAUGGCUGUAGUGCAGGAGAGGUA
rnacentral:rRNA from 1 species